CAAGGCUAUUGUCUGAAUCAUGUCGAAGGAUGAAGCAGGCUUUUCAGAGAGUAAUGCAAAAGGAGGUCCAGCGACUGAGUGUUGGAAAGGACCAGUCAAGAUUGGAGAAAUCAACAAUGGGAGCAUCAUCGUCAGAUUCACCCAAGAAAACCAAACCUGAGAAAGCUCCAUUUGCAC